ACACUUGCAUGCCUAGUACGGCGAGUGAGCGGCAACAGCUCAAUUUGAAAGCUAGCCUUCGGGUUCGCAUUGUAAUUUGUAGAGGAUGCUUUGGGUAAAACGCCAGUCUAAGUUCCUUGGAACAGGACGUCAUAGAGGGUGAGAAUCCCGUAUGUGACUGGAAAUGUUAACCUAUGUAAAGCUCCUUCGACGAGUCGAGUUGUUUGGGAAUGCAGCUCUAAAUGGGAGGUAAAUUUCUUCUAAAGCUAAAUAUUGGCGAGAGACCGAUAGCGCACAAGUAGAGUGAUCGAAAGAUGAAAAGCACUUUGGAAAGAGAGUUAAAAAGCACGUGAAAUUGUUGAAAGGGAAGCGCUUGCAAUCAGACUUGUUUAAACUGUUCGGCCGGUCUUCUGACCGGUUUACUCAGUUUGGACAGGCCAGCAUCAGUUUCGGCGGCCGGAUAAAGGCUCUGGGAAUGUGGCCUCCACUUCGGUGGAGGUGUUAUAGCCCAGUGUGUAAUACGGCCAGCCGGGACUGAGGUCCGCGCUUCGGCUAGGAUGCUGGCGUAAUGGUUGUAAGCGACCCGUCUUGAA
rnacentral:rRNA from 1 species